AAUCGAUAAUACUAAACCAAUCGUGAGAUUGGGACGGAAAGCCUAAUGGGUCUUACUGAGACAGCCGGGUCGCCGAA
rfam:Geobacteraceae bacterium GWC2_58_44 gwc2_scaffold_187, whole genome shotgun sequence.